rnacentral:rRNA from 1 species
GAUGAACGCUGGCGGCGUGCCUAAUACAUGCAAGUCGAGCGAACAGACGAGGAGCUUGCUCCUCUGACGUUAGCGGCGGACGGGUGAGUAACACGUGGAUAACCUACCUAUAAGACUGGGAUAACUUCGGGAAACCGGAGCUAAUACCGGAUAAUAUAUUGAACCGCACGGUUCAAUAGUGAAAGACGGUUUUGCUGUCACUUAUCGAUGGAUCCGCGCCGCAUUAGCUAGUUGGUAAGGUAACGGCUUACCAAGGCAACGAUGCGUAGCCGACCUGAGAGGGUGAUCGGCCACACUGGAACUGAGACACGGUCCAGACUCCUACGGGAGGCAGCAGUAGGGAAUCUUGCGCAAUGGGCGAAAGCCUGACGGAGCAACGCCGCGUGAAUGAUGAAGGUCUUCGGAUCGUAAAACUCUGUUAGUAGGGAAGAACAAAUGUGUAAGUAACUAUGCACGUCUUGACGGUACCUAAUCAGAAAGCCACGGCUAACUACGUG